UGCAGUCUCUGAGGACAAACGAUUAGAUGCCUCAAACAGAAGGAGAUUUUUGUCUGUUUUGUUUGCUACAAUGCCUGAAACCAUGCAGACAACUACUAGAUGCUCAAUUUCAAAUGUAAUCUCCAAGCUACAAUUCAUACUCAGACUUUGAGGCUUUGGAUCCUGGAUCCUGGACGAAUAGCCCGGGAAGGAGGAAAGAGGGCAGCUUGCUCAGGACCAGGGCAGGACUGCUGACUCUACAGGAACCUGAGGACUGCCACCAGCAGCAGUACACAUCAGUAGAAUGCCUCACAGCAGAUUCAGCAGUGGACUUCUGGACUGCCUGCUGAGCCAGUUGGACAAAGCAAACCUGAAUUUCUACUAACUUGGAUCUUAGGCUGGAUCAAGACUGCAGUCUUCUAGAAAAAGGACCUCAAACAGUGGACUUGAGUUUCCUUUAUCUUUCCAUUAAGCCACAGUACAAAGAAUUAUCAGCAGGAAGAGUAUACUGUACACUGAAUGAGUAUAUCAAGUCAGGUACUAUGGGCUUAUGUUUCUCUUCACUUUGGAAUGAAAUUUCCACAGUGGACAGAACAGUGGGCUGGGAGUCAGAAUCCCUGGCUUUAACUGUAGAUUUGUUACUUUUAUGCUGUUAGAUAUGCAAAUCACUUAACUCCUCUAAGCCUCAAAUUUCUACAGUAAUUUCCUCCAGCUUGUAUUCUGUGAUUCUUUUUAAUUACCCAAAGCAUCUUGGAUGGUUCUGGGCUCUUGGCAGGCCUCAAGAAAAAUACCUGUAUACUGAAAAUUACUUCUGAAAGUUCUGAAAUGGCCAGUAUUUGCUGAGGCAGAUCUUGAAACUUAAUUAUUGAUAAUAACUCAACAUAUUUGCUUCAGAUGGACUUAUUGACACUGGUGACUAGAUUACUUUAUUUUAAACCAGAUAUACUCUGUUUACAACAUGAGUGUUUAGUAGUGAGAGAAAAACUGGGGCUGUGACUAAUUUCUAUCAGGUAUGAAUUAUUUCAGUGAUUCAUCAGACAUUGAUUGCAUACCUACUAUUUAUUUGUCACUGUGUGACAAAUGGUAUGAAAAGAUGAAAAUGAUACCUUAUCUAUUCUCAAACUACAGUUCAUAAUCUAGUGGAGAUGCUAAGCAUGUUUGAUGUAUUAUCUUAUUUGAUCUUCACAACAAUCCUAUGAAGUAGGUCCUAUUGCUAUCUCCUCUCUCUUGAGGAGGAAACUGAGGCACCAAGAAUUAGUUGAGUUGCCCAAUAACGCCAAAUGGUAAUUGUGGAUCCUAGAUUCAUACCUGAAGCCUGGCCUAUCAACUAUUCCCCCUAUCACAGCAGCUUGUGGAGAGGAAUUAGUCCAUACCACUUAUUCCAGAUGUUUUAAAUGCAUAUCAAGUGGCACAAGCUACCCUGAUCCUUUCCUAAAAUCAAAUAGAAGAUAGGAGGUCAGGACAACUGUACUGUCCCAGUGGGAAAUGGAAGAAGUUAUGUUUGUUCUCUGAGCAGUUUUAUUGGAUCCUUCUAAUGAAAUACAAUUACUCCACUAGAAUGAAAAUAUUGCUACCCUACAUGCACAGUAAAUUUUGCCUGGCCUCUUUUAAAGCAUUUUUUAUCCUAAGUAAUUCUUGUCUUAACUGCCGGCUCUCUUCUAUCACUGAUGUUUGGCCAUUUUGUUAUAUUUUUUAAAAAUCCUGAUUGAGUUCCUACACUUUUGUAGGAGCUUUUUACUCUUUGGCAAAAACAAUACAAGAUAUAGUUUUGAAAACUAGAGACAGAAUUUGGCCAUCAAAUGUAAAAAAAAAAAAAGAAAAGAUUAUUUAGUUAUGCUAAUCUUUUUUUAUAUUAAUCUUCUCCAUUGAAUGGAAAUUUACUGAACAACAAAAAAUUAGUAUUAAAAAAGAAAAUGCAAAUAGGAAUAUAAAUCUUACUUACAAGCUGAGGAGAAGAAAAAGAAGCAAGAAACAAAAUAAGCAAAUGACCUUUUGGAAGAAUAGGAUUGGGAAGGCCAUCUAAACACUGUCCAGUGUCCACAUUAGCAAAAUGCCCAAGCUACAAGUCUGUGUGAUAAUUGAAAAAUCAGAGCCACUCUGACUGAUCAUUGGAAUUGAGCAGGGAUUCAAAAAAGUGUAAAACCAUAGCAACAGAUCAACAUAGAAUCUUUGGUCCACAAGCAACUUCCUUUUUUUUUUUUUUUUGUGAGGAAGAUCAGCUCUGAGCUAACAUCCAUUCCAAUCCUCCUUUUUGCUGAGGAAGGCUGGCCCUGAGCUAACACCCAUGCCCAUCUUCCUCCACUUUAUAUGGGACACCACCACAGCAUGGCCUGACAAGCAGUGCAUCAGUGUGCGCCCAGGAUCUGAACCCGGACCGCCAGCAGCGCAGUGUGCACACUUAACCUCUGCGCCAAGGGGCCGGCCCCGACAAGGAACUUUCUGAACUAUCAUUUGUUAUUUAUUGGCUGAACAAGAAGGGUUGCCAUUGAGAAGACUGGUCUAUGGGUUUGUGACUGCUUCAAUCAACACAGUAUGACAGAAAUGAUACUGUGACAUCCAAGGCUAGAUCCUAAAAGGACAUGUGGCUUCCACCUUGUUGGUUAGAACUCACUGUUGGAGUUCUGAGCACCAUAUUAAGAAGUUUGACUACUCUGAAACCAUUCUGAGGUGAGGAAGUGCAGGCCACAUGGAGAGGCCACUGGCAGUGCCCUGGCUGACGUUCCCAGCAGAAUCUAGCCUUCAAAUUAUCCCAGCCCAGGUAUCGGGCAUGCAAGUGGAAACGGCCUUAUAUAAUGUAGUUCCCAAUGUCUGAGUCUUCCCAGAUGAGGCCCCAGACACUGUGAAGCAGAGACAAACCAUCUCUGUGCCCAGUCCAAAUUCACCCACAGAAUCCAUGAGCAUAAUAAAAUGGUUGCAGUUUUAUGCCACUGAGUUGUCACAUGGCAGUAGACGACUGGAAUAUUUACUGAUCUUUGUAUCCUAUCUCUGUUUCAGCCUCUGGAUUGUGAGCUUCUUGAGGACAAAAAUCCUUCUUAUCCAUCUUUGUAUCUUAGCACUGUUAUUGGCAAGUGACGACUCUCAGUCAUAUUGGUGUGUGAAUAAACUGCUUUUGUUGGCUAAAUGGAAUGGAAUAAAUAGGGAACCCAUUUUUUUCUCAAUUUUUUUAAAUUCUAAAAUUUUCUACCUUUUAAUGUACCAUUAAAUGUUGGGUAUAGCAGAGCUUGAACUAAUUGUGUAGACUCUUCAAACCAAAAUAGAGAUGAGAGAAAUGACACAAAGUCCUAUAAAUAUAAAAUUUUUACUCACUUACGUAUAUUAUCUUUUGAUGCUUAACUAUCAAAAAAGUUUGGGAUCAA